GGGUCAGUGGGUUGGUCGUGCCACCGGUACGUACUGGUCUCACUGAUUCCUCCUUCCUGAAUAACCGUAAUGCCAUUAAUUUGGUGUUGCGGGGAAACAGGACUGUUACUUUGAAAAAAUUAGAGUGUUUAAAGCAAGCUAACGCUUGAAUACAUUAGCAUGGAAUAAUGAAAUAGGACGAUCGAUCCUAUUUUGCUGGUUUCUAGGAUUGACGUA
rnacentral:rRNA from 1 species